GUGCUUGUUUCUGCAGCACCUAUACCAAAAUUGGAAUAAUACAGAGAUUAGCAUGGGCCCUGAGCAAGGAUGACAAGCAAAUUCAUGAAGGAAUAAAGGAAGGU